UUUGUACUCCCUCCGUCCCAAAAUUCUUGUCUUACAUUUGUCUAGAUAUGGAUGUAUCUAAUACUAAAACGUGACUUGAUACAUCCGUAUCUAGACAAAUCUAAGACAAGAAUUUUGGGACGGAGGGAGUAUUGC
rnacentral:pre_miRNA from 1 species